GCUGGAGCCCACUGGAGAGUACAUCCCAGCCAUCAUGGAUCACAGUGGAGGCCUGCCCUGCCAUGGUACCUACCUGCUGCACCAGGGGAUCCAGCGGAGGAUCACAGUGACCCUCAUUCACAAGAAGGGCAGCGAGCUCCAUUGGAAAGAUGUUCGUGAGCUGGUUGUAG